rnacentral:rRNA from 1 species
UACGAGGGGGACUAGCGUUGUUCGGAAUCACUGGGCGUAAAGCGCACGUAGGCGGAUGUGUCAGUCAGGGGUGAAAUCCCGGGGCUCAACCUCGGAACUGCCUUUGAUACAGCACGUCUCGAGUCCGGAAGAGGUGGGUGGAAUUCCUAGUGUAGAGGUGAAAUUCGUAGAUAUUAGGAAGAACACCGGUGGCGAAGGCGGCCCACUGGUCCGGUACUGACGCUGAGGUGCGAAAGCGUGGGGAGCAAACAGG